GGGAAAUCUUCAGAGCGGCAAUCAAUAUUUAACCUCCCAGACCUUUGGCAUCAUUUCUUGGUGAAGUUAUAAUCAUACCCUGUAGAAUCCUGCUUCACGUGUAGAAAUCAUAAGGAAGCCUCAGUCUGACGGCAUGUUGGCACCUGCACAAACCGCAUGUAUCCGCCUUGUGUCCUGACCUUCCCUGGGACAGAAACGGCAAGAUGCUUCAUUCUAUCAUGU